UACGUAGGGUGCGAGCGUUAAUCGGAAUUACUGGGCGUAAAGUGUGCGCAGGUGGCUUCGCAAGUCGAGUGUGAAAUCCCCGGGCUUAACUCGGAACGGUCAAGUGAUACUGCUGUGCUAGAGUGCGGAAGGGGCAACUGGAAUUCUCGGUGUAGCGGUGAAAUGCGUAGAUAUCGAGAGGAACACCUGCGGCGAAGGCGGGUUGCUGGGCCGACACUGACGCUGAGGCGCGAAAGCUAGGGGAGCGAACGGG
rnacentral:rRNA from 1 species